GACGAACGCUGGCGGCGUGCUUAACACAUGCAAGUCGAACGGAAAGGCCCUGCUUUUGUGGGGUGCUCGAGUGGCGAACGGGUGAGUAACACGUGAGUAACCUGCCCUUGACUUUGGGAUAACUUCAGGAAACUGGGGCUAAUACCGGAUAGGAGCUCCUGCUGCAUGGUGGGGGUUGGAAAGUUUCGGCGGUUGGGGAUGGACUCGCGGCUUAUCAGCUUGUUGGUGGGGUAGUGGCUUACCAAGGCUUUGACGGGUAGCCGGCCUGAGAGGGUGACCGGCCACAGUGGGACUGCGAUACGGCCCAGGCUCCUACGGGAGGCAGCAGUGGAGAAUAUUGCACAAUGGGCGGAAGCCUGAUGCAGCAACGCCGCGUGCGGGAUGGCGGCCUUCGGGUUGUAAACCGCUUUCGCCUGUGACGAAGCGUGAGUGACGGUAAUGCGUAAAGAAGCACCGGCUAACUACG
rnacentral:rRNA from 1 species